UUUUCUUUUUCUUUUUUUUUUUUUUAAGCCAAGAAAUACAUGAAUCCUAGUAGUUACUUUACUGCUAAGGGAUUUUUCGCUUAGAUUUCCUACUCUCCAUCUGCUCUCUGCCGCUUCUAUCCGUAAUUAAUAUUAUCCUUUCACGUGAAAUGUGAGAACCCCUGUGACCGCAGUGGAGGGAAACCGCACAAAACACUGUUAUUAUGCAAAUCACUGGGUUAGGAUGCAGACUGGCUAGGGAACUGGGGUGCACUUUUCCCCAGACCCUCUCUUUAGGAGGAGAGAGGAGGGGGCUGUGUGGAAUGGGAGAACGAUGCUGAUUAUAUGAAAUAACGGCAGUGUCUGGAGUAGGAAUGCAAAGGGAGAGCACACUUUGGGUGGUGGAGGCAGAGGCAUCAUGCUAGGGCUGAGUGGGCAGGGGCUGUAAGGUGGAAGAUUGUUGCUUUAAAAAGAGUAGUGUAGGGAUAUGGUUUGAGUGUGAGAUACAGGCAGGAUGGAUGUGAAAUGACGGUCCAUAUGAUUUUUUUAAGCUAGGUGAGUCUUGGUUUCUUGAUAAAUCUUUGACCACCUCUAACUCAUCUGUAAUCAUUUGUAUAUUUGUGUUGUGGGAAAGAUAAGUUGGUCAAAUUUAUUUGAACCUCGGUAAAAGGAAUCUGAAAGUAAGAGACAUGUAGAACCACAGGCGUGCAAAACCCAAUCGGCCUUUGGAGGAUUUAAAUGAGGUCAAUGAACCAUCUUUCAGCAAGUUCUUGGAAUGCAUUCUCUCUCCUAUCCUCCUCUGGGAUAUAGACCAGGACUGUGUUUUAUUUAUGAAUAUUUAUGAAUGUGAAAAAGAGAUAGUGGACAGAAUUUUCCUGAAUUAACUAACUAAACUUGCAGAGAUUCUUAGAAUAUUUUGUAGUAGUUUUGUGUAUUUUACGUUUGAUGUAAAUUUUAGAUAUGUCAUGUGCCAGAAUCCCCGAGAAGGCAGACAACCCAUUCUUUCUGCUUACACCUCCUGGUCCUAUUUCCCACCGCUUACACCCCCACCCUCAGGCAAGUAACCCAUAACUUGCAAUUCUCAGCUCCGCUGUGUGUGUGUGUGUGUGUGUGUGUGUGUGUCCGUCAGUGUGCGCGCACCCGCGCACUGGCGUGCACCACGCCGGGUAAGGGAAAUGUGAUGUGGGGAAAUCAGUUAAUUUGGUGAUUGCGAUGAAAAUUCGACACCGCUGGAUGUGUUUUCCAUGCCAGUCUGUGUUGCUGGCCUCCGCACGUCACUGCACACACUGCUGGGCUGGUGCGAGAAGAUUAUUUAUUAUAGAGCAUGUGGGCAAUGGACUGCACUUGGGGGUCGCUCCUCUCUGCCUUCAACAUUUCCCUGUGAAUUGUCUAUUCAGUGCACUGCAAAAUAACUGUCUGCUGGUGCCUCUCUCUCUCCCUCAGACUGGAGGAGGAUUUACUCUUUCUCUACCAGGAGAGAUUCCAUCAGCUGCAUUCUUUUUUAUUAAAUACAUGUAAACCCUUAAGUAUGUAAUAUACGAUUAAGACAGUGCUGCUUUUCACAGCAGAUUGGUGGGGGUGUGUGGAAGGGGUGUGGGUAUACCAGAGAAAAUGGACCACUGCAACUAUAAGCACCAGCAUCAGACCCAAAUAAAUAAGUGUCCUAAACAGCAAUCAGGAAAGAGUACCAGCUCAAGGAUAUAUGUGUACUUCUGAGUAUCUUGAUUAGGCCAUAUUAAUAUAC
rnacentral:lncRNA from 1 species